UAACGCGUGGGUAACCUGCCUUGUACUGGGGGACNACAGUUGGAAACGACUGCUAAUACCGCAUAAGCGCACAGCUUCGCAUGAAGCAGUGUGAAAAACUCCGGUGGUACAAGAUGGACCCGCGUCUGAUUAGCUGGUUGGUGAGGUAACGGCCCACCAAGGCGACGAUCAGUAGCCGGCCUGAGAGGGUGAACGGCCACAUUGGGACUGAGACACGGCCCAAACUCCUACGGGAGGCAGCAGUGGGGAAUAUUGCACAAUGGGGGAAACCCUGAUGCAGCAACGCCGCGUGAGUGAAGAAGUAUUUCGGUAUGUAAAGCUCUAUCAGCAGGAAAGAAAAUGACGGUACCUGACUAAGAAGCCCCGGCUAACUACGUGCCAGCAGCCGCGGUAAUACGUAGGGGGCAAGCGUUAUCCGGAUUUACUGGGUGUAAAGGGAGCGUAGACGGUUUUGCAAGUCUGAAGUGAAAGCCCGGGGCUUAACCCCGGGACUGCUUUGGAAACUGUAGAACUAGAGUGCAGGAGAGGUAAGUGGAAUUCCUAGUGUAGCGGUGAAAUGCGUAGAUAUUAGGAGGAACACCAGUGGCGAAGGCGGCUUACUGGACUGUAACUGACGUUGAGGCUCGAAAGCGUGGGGAGCAAACAGGAUUAGAUACCCUGGUAGUCCACGCCGUAAACGAUGAUUACUAGGUGU
rnacentral:rRNA from 1 species